UACGAAGGGGGCUAGCGUUGUUCGGAAUUACUGGGCGUAAAGCGCGCGCAGGCGGCUAUCCAAGUCAGUGGUGAAAGCCCGGAGCUCAACUCCGGAACUGCCAUUGAAACUGGAGAGCUCGAGUCCGGGAGAGGUGAGUGGAACUGCGAGUGUAGAGGUGAAAUUCGUAGAUAUUCGCAAGAACACCAGUGGCGAAGGCGGCUCACUGGCCCGGUACUGACGCUGAGGUGCGAAAGCGUGGGGAGCAAACAGG
rnacentral:rRNA from 1 species